AAAGGAAUAGACGGGGGCCCGCACAAGCGGUGGAGCAUGUGGUUUAAUUCGAAGCAACGCGAAGAACCUUACCAGGGCUUGACAUUUACCUGAAUGUGUAAGAGAUUGCACAGUCUUUUAUAAGACAGGUAAACAGGUGGUGCAUGGUUGUCGUCAGCUCGUGUCGUGAGAUGUUGGGUUAAGUCCCGCAACGAGCGCAACCCUUGUUCUUAGUUGCCAACACGUUUUGGUGGGCACUCUAAGGAGACUGCCGGUGAUAAACCGGAGGAAGGUGGGGACGACGUCAAAUCAUCAUGCCCUUUAUGUCCUGGGCUACACACGUGCUACAAUGGUCCGUACAACAGGCAGCGAAGGGGUGACCUGGAGCGAAUCCUCCAAAGCGGACCUCAGUUCGGAUUGCAGGCUGCAACCCGCCUGCAUGAAGUCGGAAUCGCUAGUAAUCGUGGAUCAUCAUGCCGCGGUGAAUACGUUCCCGGGCCUUGUACACACCGCCCGU
rnacentral:rRNA from 1 species